UACGUAGGGUGCGAGCGUUAAUCGGAAUUACUGGGCGUAAAGCGUGCGCAGGCGGUUUUGUAAGCCAGAUGUGAAAUCCCCGGGCUUAACCUGGGAAUGGCAUUUGGGACUGCAAGGCUGGAGUGUGGCAGAGGGGGAUGGAAUUCCGCGUGUAGCAGUGAAAUGCUUAGAUAUGACAUAGAACACCGAUUGCGAAGGCAGCUAACUACGGGAUGAUUGACACUGAUGCACGAAAGCGUGGGGAUCAAACAGG
rnacentral:rRNA from 1 species